GUCGUCUGCCCCUCGUUACUUACCUUCAAGCAAUUGGGGACCUGCUGUCUUUCUUGUGCUUGUCUCCUGCAAUUGCCUGGCUUUAGAAACAGUUUUAUCUGAGCAGACUGUCAGGACAAAGAGGAUUUGAUUGCGUUUGUGAUUCAGGGAUUGUCUUGUCAGCAGAAGAAACACAUGGCUGUGGCACUAUAACUAUGCCUCCUGUGGGAAGUGUAAAUAUAGAAAGAUGACAACAUGUGCAUUAAUGCUCGUUAGAAUGUCAUCAUUAUAUUCUGCAAAGUGUCUGCAGAAGGGAUCCCUAAAGGACACUUAGAAAUGAAGCAGCUGCUCCGGAUUUGUUCCAGCUCACAUCUCGAAGAAAAUGACAUUGAGAUAAAUACAGCAUUGUGAGCGCCUUCUGAGCAGAAGUGGCGAAACGAGAGGGGAAGAUUUCCUUUUGUAACAGGCCCAAAGCAGGACUGCAGCGUACUCCAGACUUCCUUGCCCUCUUGCCUUUUUAACACGAACCGGGUGCUGCAGUGUUCGUGGUGGUACCGACGGGCCCACCCGUCUGUGUGGUGCAAGGGGGGGUGCAGAUUCCCGAGGCAGCUCUCAUCCAGACACCGGUGUGUGGAGGCUGGUGGGAGCUCAGGCACCACGACUGGGUAGUCGCUGCUCUACAGCCAGGAAAGCUGAAGGGAGGGCUGCUUGAGCCCAGCAUUGGCUCACAGGGCUGUCUUUAUAACAGCUUGGACCCAUGUGAGAGAGGCUUCUCCUACAGCCCCUUCUUGUCUGUCACAAGCGAAUCGUGGUGUGCUCCUUGUCUUAAGAACAUGGAUAAGGAGAAACCCAGAAAAAUUAAAAUAGUUUCUGUGAAAUACAUCUCUGACUUUGUUAUCUGUGGCCAUAAGCUUUUCUUAUGCUGUCA